GAAGAUAACAGAACCAUUAUCCUGUGCUAUUUUGUCGCCUUGCUACUGUAUUUCCUGUGCAUGUUGGCGUUUUCUAUAGUUUUAAUUGUUGGCAUAAGUAGGAAACAACCUAAGCUGAUGGCACCCUUUGUCUAUUUGGUAUAUGGCGGUACAUGGAUGUAUGCCUUCCUAUCAUUUCGUCAUUUCGUUUGGGGUCUUUGGCAUAGAGGACCAUUUGCGAAACUUUUUAUCAAGCUAAUUGUUAAUUUGUCUUGUGUUUCAAUCCAAGCAGCAAUCUUUUGGCCAGUUUAUCUUCUCUAUAGGCAGUGGCAUAAUGAGUUGCGAGAGGAACUGAAGCAACAAGAUACGGACAAUGCAACUAAAUCGAAAAGUGGCGGAAUUUUGUCGUUGGAAAAAUAUUAAAAACAACUAAUAAAUAUACAACUUUUCUAUAAAACU